rnacentral:rRNA from 1 species
UACAGAGGUCUCAAGCGUUGUUCGGAAUUACUGGGCGUAAAGCGUGCGCAGGCGGUUUUGUAAGCCAGAUGUGAAAUCCCCGGGCUCAACCUGGGAAUGGCAUUUGGGACUGCAAGGCUGGAGUGCGGCAGAGGAGACUGGAAUUCCUGGUGUAGCAGUGAAAUGCGUAGAUAUCAGGAGGAAUACCGAUGGCGAAGGCAGGUCUCUGGGCUGACACUGACGCUCAUGCACGAAAGCGUGGGGAGCAAACAGG